rnacentral:lncRNA from 10 species
GGUCAAUCUCACGAGAAGAAGCAACUUAUACAAGAGUCAUAGAGGCAUGAUAAGGAAGUCAUAAUAUUAAUGAACUCUGAGGACUGCUAUGAGGAUAAAAUGGGAUCAUCAUCAUCAUCAUCAUCACUUACUCAAUGCGUACUACAAUCCUGGCACUCCUCUAAGUGUUACAAAUAUAUUAACUCCAACAAUAACUCCAGAAGAAAUCCUAGUAUUGCAUAAGUGAUCUUCAUGAAGCUUCCUAUUCCCUGUGGAGUUUGGAAGGAGAGGCAUUCCUGUAGGCUUCUGCUGAGAAGGGAAGAAGAGUCUUCCUGCUUGGACACUGGGCUUCUGAAAAGGCCAUGUGCUCUCCUAUCUCACAGUUUUCUUUCUUUUACUUUUUUUGUUUGUCUUUUUUCUCUUUUUUUAUUCUUUUUUUCUUACCUCACAGUCUUGUAUGUGUUUUGACUGUCACAAGAAUGAGCAUUGGACGUGGUAGAAAAAAUUCUUGGAUUAGUGCCUCUCAUUAGUCCCUAAAAAUACAUAUGUAUCUGGCCCCAACUCCUGGUGACUCUCUAAGCUUAUGAUGCAUUUUUUGGUAUGUUUUGUAUACAGUUUUGAGCUUCCGCAAUGAUUUUUAAAACAGGACAAAAUCCCAUAUGAACCUUCUGUUAUACUCCAUUAAAUUGUCAAUACCAGAGAUACAGGAAAAUUAUUUUCUCAUUCUAACUUUAUAUACCCAAUAUCUAACAAAGCAGCUGCAAAAUGGUUGCUACUCAAUAAAUAUUUGUUGAAUGAAUGAAGGAAUGAAAAGCCAAAUGUAAUACAUAGAAAAGUUGAUUAUAAAUUCUUUGGUACAAAAUAGACAGACAAAACAUAAUCUAGGAAAUAUGCACCCUGAGAAAUUGCUAUCAUCAUCUUAAUACCUUAUAACAACGAAAGUUCUUAAACUGGUCCCCUUAAUACCAUUGUGUUUAUUUUCUGUAUGUUUAUACUUUUAUGCUUUGGUUUCAUUUUCUACUUAUUAGUUAAAUGAUUAUGAGAACUGUGGGGAUAAAUUUAAAACAUUACUGUGUUUCUAUAGAGAGUUCUGCUGUAAUGCAGUGAUUAUGAAAUGAUCUCAAAUCUAUUCAGAAUUAUUAAAAGGUACAGUUCAAUAAAUAUUUUUAUUUUUGUUAAUUCUUCCCCAAAUCACAUUAAAACGAUCCUUUUGCACUUAAGUGAUUUCGUCAGUUUUGUAUUCAUUUUAAAUGCCAGAUUCUUUUUCUAAGAUUCAAAGUUUCUGAAAACUUUAUUUUUAAGCAAUAUAUUCUGAGAAGACUUAAAUCUAAAUUCAAUUGUUCAGAUAAAUAUGAAUACAAUUUAAUAAAAAGUACUGAAUGCUGUGUUUUAUAAUUCCUUAGAAAAUUUGGGAACAUUACUAGGUUCCCAAGUAGAUUGAUAAUACCUGAGAGAUCAGCCGUGACCAACAUUUAGUUACAUUAACAGGAAUACUUGAUAUGAGCAAAUCCGUACAUAUUUUUAUUAAAAGUGCAAAUAUAAAUAAUUAAAUGAUUCUGUUCUAAUGCCCUUCAUUCCAAUGCCUAGAACAGGAAAAAAGACAUGAACCUCUUUAAGAAGUCAUGUUCAAAAAAUUGCUAGUAGUUUACAGAGAUUACUGAAGAAACAACUGUCAAACUCAGCCAAUUGCUUAUCAGGAGUGGGCUUAGAAAGGCAAGUUACCAGGGAAACCUCUUCCUCACUGGAAAAGGAUAAAUGUGUACUAGGAGUCCACAUAUGGCAAGACUGUAAUCUUGCUAUGCUUUAAUUUUAUCUAGGUUAGCCACAGUGGAGAAAACACUGUAGAGACUAGAAGCUAAGAGUGCAGAAGGGCAAAAGCAAUUUUUAUAACUUUAAGUUGAUUAUUAGUACUACUAAUAAUGCUAAUGGUAGUGCUUACACUAUUAACAAAAAUAAUUAUAAACACUUACAAAGCACUCUGUCUUAGUCAUUUGGGCUGCUGUAACAAAAAUACCAUAGAGUGGGUAGCUUAAACAACAAAUAUUUAUUUCUUACAUUUCUGGAAGUUGGGAUCAAAGUGUGAGCAGAUUCAGUGUCUGGUGAGGGCUUGCUUCCUGGUGCAUAGAUGGCCAUCUUCUUGCUGUGUUUUUUUUUUUUUUUUUUUUUUUUUAAGAUGGAGUCUCGCUCUGUCACUCUGUUGCCCAGGUUGGAGUGCAGUGGUGUGAUCUCGGCUCACUGAGACCUCUGCCUCAGGGGUUCAGGUGAUUCUCCUGCCUCAGCCUCAUGAGUAGCUGGGACUACAGGCACUUGCCACCACGCCCAGCUAAUUUUUGUAUUUUUAGUAGAGACGGGGUUUCCAUAACAAUGGAAAUUAGGCUAUAGUAUAUAAAUUUUAGGGGGACACAUCCAUUCGAUAGCCUGCUCUAUAGUUUAAAAAUUGCACUCUUUUGAAUUCUGUCUUUUGGGAGACAUUAUUGCCAUCAGUCUCAUAAUAGAGAUGAGAAAACUAAAGUUAAGUGCAUUAGCUGUGGUCAUACAGGGGUUAAUCAAGAGCCCAGAAGUUGUAUUCAAUCUCCUUGAUUCUAGUGCAUACUCCUUUUGCAUAUUACUCAUUUUUCUAAAAUCAUGUUAACUCCUCUUCUUGCUAGUAAGAAGAUGCAGUGGUAGAUUUAUCAUGAAUUAAAGGAAGUAUAGUUUCAGGCACCCUCACUUGCAUAAGCCCAUUCCAAUGUCUUGGAGUAGCCCUAAUAGUGUUCAUAUAUUUAUGUAAAUUUAUACAUAUAUACACAAAUAUAUGUAUAUAUUUAUAUAUUUAUGUAAAGUUAUACAUGUACACAUAAACAUUUAUAUUUUUUAAUCUAAAUAUAUGU